AUUGAACGCUGGCGGCAGGCCUAACACAUGCAAGUCGAGCGGAGCGGCGGACGGGUGAGUAAGGCCUAGGAAUCUGCCAGGGCGUGGGGGAUAACGUCCGGAAACGGGCGCUAAUACCGCAUACUAUCAGAAUAGCCUAGGUCGGAUUAGCUAGUGGGUGGGGUAAGGGCCUACCAAGGCGACGAUCCCUAACUGGUCUGAGAGGAUGAUCAGCCACACUGGAACUGAGACACGGUCCAGACUCCUACGGGAGGCAGCAGUGGGGAAUAUUGGACAAUGGGCGAAAGCCUGAUCCAGCCAUGCCGCGUGUGUGAAGAAGGUCUUCGGAUUGUAAAGCACUUUAAGUUGGGAGGCGUUACCAACAGAAUAAGCACCGGCUAACUUCGUGCCAGCAGCCGCGGUAAUAC
rnacentral:rRNA from 1 species